ACAAGAAAUAAUCUGUCUUAGGUUAAUAUAUUGAAUUUAACUUUUGAGUGAAAAGGCUUAAAUAAUCUGAAGGGACGAUAAGACCCUAUAAAACUUUAUAUUGAAAAGUGGUAGGUAUAACUUGUUUAAAGAUUAUUACUUUAAAGUAUUUGGUUGGGGUGACAAAAAUAGAAUGGAAAGUAACUGUUUUUUUUUUUUACAGUGAUGUUUGAGUUAAUGAUCCUAAAAUGGAUUAAAGAUUAAGUUACUUUAGGGAUAACAGCGUAAUUUUCUUUAAGAGUUCUUAUCGAUAAGAAAGUUUGCGACCUCGAUGUUGAAUUAAAGGUUCUUUAUGGAGUAGAGACUAUAAAAGAAGGUCUGUUCGACCUUUAAAACUUU
rnacentral:rRNA from 1 species